GACGAACGCUGGCGGCGUACCUAAGACAUGCAAGUCGAAACGGGGCUCACCGCUUCGGCGGGGAGUCGAGUGGCGGACGGGUGAGUAACGCGUAGGAACCUGUCGAGCAGUGGGGGAGUAACGACUGGGAAACCGGACGCUAUACCGCAUGUGAUCGGGAGGACCGAAGAAAGACAGCAAUAGCGCUGUUUGUAGGGGCCGUGCGUCCGAUUAGCUUGUUGGUGGGGUAAGGGCCGUACCAAGGCAUCGAUCGGUAGCUGGUCUGAGAGGAUGGUCAGCCACACUGGGACUGAGACACGGCCCAGACUCCUACGGGAGGCAGCAGUUAGGAAAUUUUUCCAAUGGGGGAAACCCUGAGAGAGUAACGCCGCGUGAGGAUGAC
rnacentral:rRNA from 1 species